UACAGAGGGUGCGAGCGUUAAUCGGAAUUACUGGGCGUAAAGCGUGCGCAGGCGGUGAUGUAAGACAGGUGUGAAAUCCCCGGGCUCAACCUGGGAACUGCAUUUGUGACUGCAUGGCUGGAGUGCGGCAGAGGGGGAUGGAAUUCCGCGUGUAGCAGUGAAAUGCGUAGAUAUGCGGAGGAACACCGAUGGCGAAGGCAAUCCCCUGGGCCUGCACUGACGCUCAUGCACGAAAGCGUGGGGAGCAAACAGG
rnacentral:rRNA from 1 species